GAUGAACGCUAGCGGUAGGCUUAACACAUGCAAGUCGAACGGGAUUCGGGUAGCAAUAUCUGAUGAGAGUGGCGCACGGGUGAGUAACGCGUAUGCAACCUGCCUAUAACUGGAGAAUAGCCCCCGGAAACGGGGAUUAAUGUUACAUAAUGUUCAGAGAUCGCAUGGUUUUUGGAAUAAAGCUCCGGCGGUUAUAGAUGGGCACGCGUGCCAUUAGCUAGUUGGGGAGGUAACGGCUCACCAAGGCUACGAUGGUUAGGGGGUCUUAAAGGAUGAUCCCCCACACUGGUACUGAGACACGGACCAGACUCCUACGGGAGGCAGCAUUGAGGAAUAUUGGUCAAUGGGCGCAAGCCUGAACCCGCCAAGCCGCGUGAAGGAUGACGGCCCUAUGGGUUGUAAACUUCUUUUGUAUGGGAAGAACUCCCCGACGUGUCGGGGGCUGACUGUACUAUACGAAUAAGCAUCGGCUAACUCCGUGCCAGCCGCCGCCGUAACAC
rnacentral:rRNA from 1 species